CAUUUAGAGGAAGUAAAAGUCGUAACAAGGUUUCCGUAGGUGAACCUGCGGAAGGAUCAUUAUUGAAAUAAAUCUGAUAAGUUGCUGCUGGCUCUCUAGGGAGCAAUGUGCACACUUGUCAUCUUUAUAUUUUCACCUGUGCACCUUUUGUAGACUUGAUUAUCUCUCUGAAUGCUUUUAUAGCAUUUGGGAUUGAGAAUUGACUUCAUUGUCUCUUCUUAUAUUUUCAGGUCUAUGUUUCUUCAUAUACUCUAUGUAUGUUUAUAGAAUGUAAUUAAUGGGCCUUUUGUGCCUAUAACUUUACAACUUUCAGCAACGGAUCUCUUGGCUCUCGCAUCGAUGAAGAACGCAGCGAAAUGCGAUAAGUAAUGUGAAUUGCAGAAUUCAGUGAAUCAUCGAAUCUUUGAACGCACCUUGCGCUCCUUGGUAUUCCGAGGAGCAUGCCUGUUUGAGUGUCAUUAAUAUUAUCAACCUUUUUGGUUGGAUGUGGGUUUGCUGGACUCUUGAGGUCAGCUUUCCUUAAAUGCAUUAGCGGACAACAUUUUGCCAACCGUUCAUUGGUGUGAUAAUUAUCUACGCUAUUGACGUGAAGCAAGGUUCAGCUUCUAACAGUCCAUUGACUUGGACAAGCCUCUUUUUAUUAAUGUGACCUCAAAUCAGGUAGGACUACCCGCUGAACUUAAGCAUAUCAAUAA
rnacentral:rRNA from 1 species